rnacentral:rRNA from 1 species
AGAUUGAACGCUAGCGGGAUGCUUUACACAUGCAAGUCGAACGGCAGCGCGGACUUCGGUCUGGCGGCGAGUGGCGAACGGGUGAGUAAUAUAUCGGAACGUGCCCAGUAGCGGGGGAUAACUACGCGAAAGCGUGGCUAAUACCGCAUACGCCCUACGGGGGAAAGGGGGGGAUCGCAAGACCUCUCACUAUUGGAGCGGCCGAUAUCAGAUUAGCUAGUUGGUGAGGUAAAGGCUCACCAAGGCGACGAUCUGUAGCUGGUUUGAGAGGACGACCAGCCACACUGGGACUGAGACACGGCCCAGACUCCUACGGGAGCAGCAGUGGGGAAUUUUGGACAAUGGGGGAAACCCUGAUCCAGCCAUCCCGCGUGUGCGAUGAAGG